rnacentral:rRNA from 1 species
CCUACGGGAGGCUGCAGUGAGGAAUAUUGGUCAAUGGACGAGAGUCUGAACCAGCCAAGUAGCGUGAAGGAUGACUGCCCUAUGGGUUGUAAACUUCUUUUAUAUGGGAAUAAAACGUUCCACGUGUGGGAUUUUGUAUGUACCAUAUGAAUAAGGAUCGGCUAACUCCGUGCCAGCAGCCGCGGUAAUACGGAGGAUCCGAGCGUUAUCCGGAUUUAUUGGGUUUAAAGGGAGCGUAGGUGGAUUGUUAAGUCAGUUGUGAAAGUUUGCGGCUCAACCGUAAAAUUGCAGUUGAAACUGACAGUCUUGAGUACAGUAGAGGUGGGCGGAAUUCGUGGUGUAGCGGUGAAAUGCUGAGAUAUCACGAAGAACUCCGAUUGCGAAGGCAGUUCACUGGACUGCAACUGACACUGAGGCUCGAAAGUGUGGGUAUCAAACAGGAUUAGAUACCCCGGUAGUC